rnacentral:rRNA from 1 species
GGCUCUGGGAUAACUCCAAGAAAUUGGGGCUAAUACCGGAUAUGACCGCUGACCGCAUGGUCUGGUGGUGGAAAGAUUUAUCGGCUGGGGAUGGGCCCGCGGCCUAUCAGCUUGUUGGUGGGGUAGUGGCCUACCAAGGCGACGACGGGUAGCCGGCCUGAGAGGGUGACCGGCCACACUGGGACUGAGACACGGCCCAGACUCCUACGGGAGGCAGCAGUGGGGAAUAUUGCGCAAUGGGCGAAAGCCUGACGCAGCGACGCCGCGUGGGGGAUGACGGCCUUCGGGUUGUAAACCUCUUUCAGCAGGGACGAAGCGAAAGUGACGGUACCUGCAGAAGAAGCACCGGCCAACUACGUGCCAGCAGCCGCGGUAAUACGUAGGGUGCAAGCGUUGUCCGGAAUUAUUGGGCGUAAAGAGCUCGUAGGCGGUUUGUUGCGUCGGCUGUGAAAACCUGAGGCUCAACCUCAGGCCUGCAGUCGAUACGAGCAGACUAGAGUGUUGCAGGGGAGACUGGAAUUCCUGGUGUAGCGGUGAAAUGCGCAGAUAUCAGGAGGAACACCGGUGGCGAAGGCGGGUCUCUGGGCAACAACUGACGCUGAGGAGCGAAAGCGUGGGGAGCGAACAGGAUUAGAUACCCUGGUAGUCCACGCCGUAAACGUUGGGCGCUAGGUGUGGGGCUCAUUCCACGAGUUCCGUGCCGCAGCUAACGCAUUAAGCGCCCCGCCUGGGGAGUACGGCCGCAAGGCUAAAACUCAAAGGAAUUGACGGGGGCCCGC